GAUGAACGCUAGCGGGAGGCCUAACACAUGCAAGCCGAGCGGUAGAGAUCUUUCGGGAUCUUGAGAGCGGCGUACGGGUGCGGAACACGUGUGCAACCUGCCUUUAUCUGGGGGAUAGCCUUUCGAAAGGAAGAUUAAUACCCCAUAAUAUAAGAGACGGCAUCGUUUUUUAUUGAAAACUCCGGUGGAUAGAGAUGGGCACGCGCAAGAUUAGAUAGUUGGUGAGGUAACGGCUCACCAAGUCUACGAUCUUUAGGGGGCCUGAGAGGGUGAUCCCCCACACUGGUACUGAGACACGGACCAGACUCCUACGGGAGGCAGCAGUGAGGAAUAUUGGACAAUGGGUGAGAGCCUGAUCCAGCCAUCCCGCGUGAAGGACGACGGCCCUAUGGGUUGUAAACUUCUUUUGUAUAGGGAUAAACCUACUCUCGUGAGGGUAGCUGAAGGUACUAUACGAAUAAGCACCGGCUAACUCCGUG
rnacentral:rRNA from 1 species